AACCCUGUGAGAAUGCCCUACAUAUUCCCCAUCGGAAAAAAGGAGCAGACAUUAGGCACAACUCAAUGUUAGCCCACGACGUCUUGCUUAGCCACACCCCCAAGGGAACUCAGCAGUAAUAAACAUUAAGCAAUAAGUGAAAACUUGACUUAGUUAAAACCAAGAGGGCCGGUAAAACUCGUGCCAGCCACCGCGGUUAUACGAGAGGCCCAAGUUGAUAAAUGCCGGCGUAAAAUGUGGUUAAUAUAAUGUUUCACUAAAGCCAAACAUCUUCAGAGCUGUCAUACCCACAUGAAGACAGGAAGCCCUUCUACGAAAGUGGCUUUAAAUAGUAUUAUCCACGAAAGCUAGGAUACAAACUGGGAUUAGAUACCCCACUAUGCCUAGCCUUAAACACAAGUGAACUAUUACACCUUUCGCUUGCCAGGGAACUACGAGCCCCAGCUUAAAACCCAAAGGACUUGGCGGUGCUUUAGACCCCCCUAGAGGAGCCUGUUCUAGAACCGAUAAUCCCCGUUAAACCUCACCUUCUCUUGUUAAUUCC
rnacentral:rRNA from 1 species